UUCUAUUCUAUUCUACAUUUCUGAAGCCACCUUCGUCACCUGGCAGCGUUACGCUGUGCUUUCAGAACUUGAUGCACACGACGAGAGCGAUUCAGGUAAGGAGGCAGUGGAGGCACGCCUGAAUGGGUUGAAAGCCUCCAGAAAAAGGUGGUCAUGAAAGUUGGAUUCUCAGCAGACGCCGCAGCUUCUGUCAACUCAGUUUACAGUGAGACACUAACACACCGGCAGUUAUCGUCUCAGGGGCAGCCACCAGCUCUUGAAGUGUCUGCAGCUCAAAGGUCAACACGUCAUUCUUUAAGUACAUCUGGGCCCAUUUAGUUUCCAGUGGAAAGAACGUUGCAUUUUUCUGCUCGCUGCUGUUGAGUCACAAGGCCCAGAGGAUGUGA